AUUGAACGCUGGCGGCAGGCCUAACACAUGCAAGUCGAACGGUAACAGGAAGCAGCUUGCUGCUUCGCUGACGAGUGGCGGACGGGUGAGUAAUGUCUGGGAAACUGCCUGAUGGAGGGGGAUAACUACUGGAAACGGUAGCUAAUACCGCAUAACGUCGCAAGACCAAAGAGGGGGACCUUAGGGCCUCUUGCCAUCGGAUGUGCCCAGCUGGGAUUAGCUAGUAGGUGGGGUAACGGCUCACCUAGGCGACGAUCCCUAGCUGGUCUGAGAGGAUGACCAGCCACACUGGAACUGAGACACGGUCCAGACUCCUACGGGAGGCAGCAGUGGGGAAUAUUGCACAAUGGGCGCAAGCCUGAUGCAGCCGUGCCGCGUGUAUGAAGAAGGCCUUCGGGUUGUAAAGUACUUUCAGCGGGGAGGAAGGGAGUAAAGUUAAUACCUUUGCUCAUUGACGUUACCCGCAGAAGAAGCACCGGCUAACUCCGUG
rnacentral:rRNA from 1 species